rnacentral:lncRNA from 1 species
UGAGGCUGCUCAUCAUGGGGCUGCUCAUCCUGUUCUGCAUCAAACAUAAGAUUUUGCUGUGCCUGCUCAUCCUGGGGCUGCUCGUCCUGAGGCGCCUGCCUUUCCUCAUUUCUCUUUCUCCUUUUUUCAACAGCAGCUCUCCUAUUUGAUUGUGUAGGAGGCCGAACUCGCGAAUAAUCACCACCGUCAGAUUUUCCUCCUCUAGUCCUCACUAACAAAAUUCAAUAAACAAAAAUAAAAAAAA